AUGGACUACCAACCAAUCAUCUCCGCCCUCGACGUGCGCACUGAACCUGUCACCAUCGACGCGCUCUUCUCCAUGGUGGCGAACUUUGAUCAGCGGAUCGAGAUGUUCCAUGGCGGUGGUGCUGGUGGCUUCAAGUCAUCGGCAACCACUGCUUCUCGGGGCCGUCCGAACGCCGGCAAGGGCGGCUACCGCAACCAGAAGGGCAGCGGUGGCGGUCGCUCCCACGGAAACGGCGGUGGCUAUGGUGCUUCCGGUGGCGGCAACUACAGCGCCGGCGGAGGUGGCUACAACGGCAUCGCUGGCGGCUACCACUCGGGCGGCGGCUUUGGUGGUGGCUACCAUCAGAACAAUGGAGGAGGAGGCCACUAUGGUGGUGGUGGUGGCGGCCACUAUCAUCAGAACCCCUCUGGUGGCGGCAACAACACUCGGCGCCCUUCCAACAACAACACCAGAGGGCGUCACUUCCAAGGGUAUGAUGGUUAUGAGGGACGUUGCCAAAUUUGUAAGAAAAUAGAUCAUCUUGCAAAGGACUGUGAUUGA
rnacentral:rRNA from 1 species